GAUGAACGCUGGCGGCGUGCCUAAUACAUGCCAGUCGAGCGAACAGACGAGGAGCUUGCUCCUCUGACGUUAGCGGCGGACGGGUGAGUAACACGUGGAUAACCUACCUAUAAGACUGGGAUAACUUCGGGAAACCGGAGCUAAUACCGGAUAAUAUAUUGAACCGCAUGGUUCAAUAGUGAAAGACGGUUUUGCUGUCACUUAUAGAUGGAUCCGCGCCUCAUUAGCUAGUUGGUAAGGUAACGGCUUACCAAGGCAACGAUGCGUAGCCGACCUGAGAGGGAGAUCGGCCACACUGGAACUGAGCCACGGUACAGACUCCUACGGGAGGCAGCAGUAGGGAAUCUUCCGCAAUGGGCGAAAGCCUGACGGAGCAACGCCGCGUGAGUGAUGAAGGUCUUCGGAUCGUAAAACUCUGUUAUUAGGGAAGAACAAAUGUGUAAGUAACUAUGCACGUCUUGACGGUACCUAAUCAGAAAGCCACGGCUAACUACGUG
rnacentral:rRNA from 1 species